CGCGGCCUAUCAGCUUGUUGGUGAGGUAAUGGCUCACCAAGGCUUCGACGGGUAGCCGGCCUGAGAGGGCGACCGGCCACACUGGGACUGAGAUACGGCCCAGACUCCUACGGGAGGCAGCAGUGGGGAAUAUUGCACAAUGGGCGCAAGCCUGAUGCAGCAACGCCGCGUGCGGGAUGACGGCCUUCGGGUUGUAAACCGCUUUCAGUAGGGACGAAGCUAACGUGACGGUACCUACAGAAGAAGGACCGGCUAACUACGUGCCAGCAGCCGCGGUGAUACGUAGGGUCCGAGCGUUGUCCGGAAUUAUUGGGCGUAAAGGGCUUGUAGGUGGUCCGUCGCGUCAGGAGUGAAAACUCGGGGCUUAACCCCGAGCCUGCUUUUGAUACGGGCGGACUAGAGGGAUGCAGGGGAGAACGGAAUUCCUGGUGGAGCGGUGGAAUGCGCAGAUAUCAGGAGGAACACCGGUGGCGAAGGCGGUUCUCUGGGCAUCACCUGACGCUGAGAAGCGAAAGCGUGGGGAGCAAACAGGCUUAGAUACCCUGGUAGUCCACGCCGUAAACGGUGGGCACUAGGUGUGGGGGACAUUCCACGUUCUCCGUGCCGAAGCUAACGCAUUAAGUGCCCCGCCUGGGGAGUACGG
rnacentral:rRNA from 1 species